AGUACAUUUACAUUUAAGUCAUUUAGCAGACGCUCUUAUCCAGAGCGACUUACAAAUUGGUGCAUUCACCUGGAGUACCCCCUGGAGUACCCUGUUCAUUGGAUCACCCCCCAGAAGACUUCAAGUCUGCCCAUUCUACAACAGGGGAUGUGUUUACACAUCACGGCAUAUCAAUUAAUAUUUUGUGUUUUACAUCAGUUGCGUUUAAGGCCUUAACAAAGGCUACCAAACUGGCAGCAACUACAAGGUAAAACAGACCAAUAGGACAUGGCAAAAUGCUCAACCAUGAAGGUUUAAGACUUGCUGCUACUCCAAUCUGUCCCCUAUACAUUUUAAAUUGAUGGUACGCUACUACCACAUAUCAGUUACAUUGGUACAGCACUCUCAGUAAAGGGUGCAAGAAAUGUAGCCACUUACAAGGCAUGCCUCAAAAUAUGUUAAUGAGCCAGAACCACAAUACCAUGCAUCCACUUGUGGACACAAGGUUUUUGUCGCUCCACAAAUACAGUAAGGUGCUGUAUUCUGUGGGAUGGAGUUACAGUACCAAUUGAAAUACAGAUAUUCUUUCCCCGCCCACAAUAUUUUACCACAAUGCACCAUAAUUUACAGUUGCUGCAGUAAAAUAUUUGACCGCAUUUUUCUGUUGAUAAUACCCCAAAUUACCAAUAUAAAUUAUAGUUUUCCGUUACAGUGUGGGGCAAUUAGAGUAUGGACGUUGACUAGUGAAAGUAGUAAUCUUUUUUGUCUUUGUCCAAUCAGUGGACUACAAUGACUGGGAGUACCCCCUGGAGUACCCUGUUCAUUGGAUCACCCUCCAGAAGACUUCAAGUCUGCCCAUUCUACAACAGGGGAUUUUGCAUCAGUGGUGAGAAUGGAAGCAUCACUUUGCCUGCUGGGGGAUGUAGUUUUCAGUGGGACUGGACUAAAGUUGAAUAGGAUGGUUGUACAAGGGAAACAUUGAAUUGUUCUUCAUAACACAGUAGUGAAGUAGAUGCUGGCACAGAGUUAUUGUACAUGUCCAAUGGCUUUAGUUUUGUGAAAUGCUUCCUCUGAGAUGUCAUGCUCUAUAUAGGCCCUAAGUGCAGACGUGCCCAUAUCCCAGGGUUGAUGAUGUGUCCCAAGCACCUGAUUGGCUUCUAUCCAUAUGGAGCAGACUGCAGUUUCAGCCACCCAAAAUGGCAGAUGAUACCCAGGAUCUACAACACUGAUCACUCAAAGCAUAGAGAACAUCAACCAUCAGAUUAGACACCAGCAUCAAACCUACUCCAGGCAACACCACUCUAGCCCAACCUACUUCAGCCACCACAACUCAGACCCCCUAUGGUAACCUGCUACAAGGUAAGACUUGCUCAUCUAGACACCAUUAGAUAUGUGUUGGUCUUGAUUCUUGUCAUGUGCAAAAUUUGUUUCUUUUACUGGUUGACAAGACUUGCAUAUUGUGGAUAUUCAGCCUAUAGUUGGCAUUUAGUUAAAACAGUCCUUUCAACUGUCCUAUACUGGAAUAAAGACAGAGGAAUGCGUUGAGAUAAAUGUAACAUGUACAUUUAUUGAUGAAAAUGUAAAAAUUUACACGUUUUCAUAUAGCUUUACAGACAGUAUAUUUGAUAAAUGUAAACAAACAUCACUUCAUAUUUAUUCUUGGUACAAACAAUAUGACUAUAUAAUAUGACUAUAUGACAUAAUUAUUUUGAGUCAAGAUUUACUCAACCCACAGGUAACAAUCAGAUUCUCAAUGCAGGAAGCUCAAGGUAGAACUGAAAAGAGCUGCGUAAAACAUCUACCUCUUGUGACUCUCAUCUUAUCCCCCCAAAAAUCUGGUGAUGUUAUUUUGUGUAUCAUUUUGUUCUCAUCCAGUAUCAUACUGAAAGAUAAUGUAUCUUGCCUGUUGCACACAAAAAGUGUUAUCUUUUCCACCAGGUGGCAGUCGUCAUCUGUGUUUUCAGUGUUAUCGUUUUUUACUCUCGAUUAAAGGUUGAUCAGGUUCUAAUGUUUAUGUUGUAAUGUUUGAAAUAAAAUUCUGUCUUGGGUAAUUGACAGUUAUGUUUACUUUGUAGUUUAUAUAAACACAUGGUCAUCACAUAUUUGUACAGUAUUUUAUAUAUACAGUAUAUMAUCUCAGGUUGCUUUAUAAUUGAAGAGUACUUUUGUCAUUGGUGUGUUCCAACUGGGCACAGACAUCAAUUCAAAGUCUUGUUUUGAUUUA